rnacentral:rRNA from 1 species
AACUAACGCUGGCGGCGUGCCUAACACAUGCAAGUCGUACGAGAAAGUUGGCUUCGGCCGAUGAGUACAGUGGCGCACGGGUGAGUAACGCGUGGAUAAUCUGCCCUUAAGUGUGGAAUAACGUACCGAAAGGUGCGCUAAUACCGCAUAAUGCCUGGCAACAUAAGUUGUCCGGCCAAAGAAGGCCUCUGCUUGCAAGCUUUCGCUAAAGGAUGAGUCCGCGUACCAUUAGCUAGUUGGUGGGGUAACGGCCUACCAAGGCGACGAUGGUUAGCUGGUCUGAGAGGAUGAUCAGCCACACUGGAACUGAGACACGGUCCAGACUCCUACGGGAGGCAGCAGUGAGGAAUAUUGCGCAAUGGGGGCAACCCUGACGCAGCAACGCCGCGUGAGUGAGGAAGGUUUUCGGACUGUAAAGCUCUGUCGAGCGGGAAGAAGUGUACCAUGGCUAAUAUCCAUGAUAUUUGACGGUACCGCGUAGAGGAACG